rnacentral:rRNA from 1 species
AUUGAACGCUGGCGGAAUGCUUUACACAUGCAAGUCGAACGGCAGCACGGACUUCGGUCUGGUGGCGAGUGGCGAACGGGUGAGUAAUGUAUCGGAACGUGCCCAGUCGUGGGGGAUAACGUAGUGAAAAUUACGCUAAUACCGCAUACGAUCUAUGGAUGAAAGCGGGGGAUCGCAAGACCUCGCGCGAUUGGAGCGGCCGAUAUCAGAUUAGGUAGUUGGGGGGGUAAAGGCCCACCAAGCCAACGAUCUGUAGCUGGUCUGACAGGACGACCAGCCACACGGGAACUGAGACACGGUCCAGACUCCUACGGGAGGCAGCAGUGGGGAAUUUUGGACAAUGGGCGAAAGCCUGAUCCAGCCAUUCCGCGUGCAGGACGAAUGCCCUCGGGUUGUAAACUGCUUUUGUACAGAACGAAAAGGUUUCUACUAAUACUAGGAGCUCAUGACGGUACUGUAAGAAUAAGCACCGGCUAACUACGUGCCAGCAGCCGCAGUAA